UUAACUGAAACCAAAAAAGAGGUAAAUUAUUGUUAAUAAUUUUAAUGAAUAUACUUAAUAUUCCUGUUGAAA
rnacentral:tRNA from 1 species